rnacentral:rRNA from 1 species
AUUGAAUGCUGGCGGCAUGCCUUACACAUGCAAGUCGAACGGUAACGGGCCUUCGGGUGCCGACGAGUGGCGAACGGGUGAGUAAUACAUCGGAACGCGCCCGAUCGUGGGGGAUAACGAGGCGAAAGCUUUGCUAAUACCGCAUACGAUCUACGGAUGAAAGCAGGGGACCGCAAGGCCUUGCGCGGACGGAGCGGCCGAUGGCAGAUUAGGUAGUUGGUGGGAUAAAAGCUUACCAAGCCGACGAUCUGUAGCUGGUCUGAGAGGAUGAUCAGCCACACUGGGACUGAGACACGGCCCAGACUCCUACGGGAGGCAGCAGUGGGGAAUUUUGGACAAUGGGCGCAAGCCUGAUCCAGCCAUGCCGCGUGCAGGAUGAAGGCCUUCGGGUUGUAAACUGCUUUUGUACGGAACGAAAAGCCUUCUUUUAAUACAGGAGGGUCAUGACGGUACCGUAAGAAUAAGCACCGGCUAACUACGUG